AAGUUUACUUUGUUUUAAAGAUAAACAAAGCGUAACUGCACAUUGCUGGGUUAGUCGAUAACUUUUAAUUUACAUUGCCUAGCUUGGUAUGUGAUGAAAAAUAUCAUAAAGAAGUACGUGUAUAAUUGUCGGAUUGGUUUUAGUUAAGCUCGAACAAGCGUUUUUUCAAUAAGUUUUGUGAUGAAAAUGUGAUAUAACUUAUCAAGCAUAACCAGUUACUAAAAUGGCAAAAAUAAUAAUUUUCCUUCUAUGGCUGAUGGUCCUCAUACUCGUGGCUUUUGCUGUUGCUACCUUCUGUGCGGGAUUCUACAUUAUUUUGCUACCAUUAACGGUUUGCAUUGAAGAUCUUAAACCUUUAACUGAGAAGCUCCUACAAGGCUUACAAUUUCCAUUUUAUUGUGCCAACAAGAUGAUAUCUGGAGGAAAUCAAGCGUCAUAUCUGCACAUAUAAUUUUCAACGACAUCAAGUUCUAAUACAUAUGAAGUAUAUGUAUAUUAAAUUUGCAUAUUAUAGUUAACAUAUUUGAUAUGGAAAAAAUUGUAAACCGUGUAGUUUUUAUAUGUUUUAUUCAGGCGGUGUGUACAAGACCUAGAUACUGUAGAAUCAGAUAACAUUGUUCAGGUUUCUUAAGCCAUUUAUGCCAUGGAAUAUUAUCAGUGUUUGAUUGCUGUAGCCCACAAUCUAGUUAUUUCUAUAUUAUAGGUAAAAUUUUUAAAUUAAAUUUAAAAAAAUGUAAA
rnacentral:lncRNA from 1 species